AAACAGGCCAGCUCAGGGCUCCUGCAAGUGUGAUAGGUGGAGCCGUGGGCAGGAGUUGGUCAUUGACUCAGUAACCUCCGAAAUUAAAAAAAAAAAAAAUCACAUUUUUUAUGGCUUAUGCUGCAGGGCCUGGCUUUCACACUGCGCAUCAUCACUAUCUUUUUUGUAUGGUAGGCAUAGAGAGGGACCAAGAAUAUAGGCUCCUUCCACAUGGACUAUGAAAUGCUUUACGAGUUGCCAGCAAUAGUAGUGAUUAGGGAUCUUGGGGUCCGAGCGCUUCUGGGAGAGGAGGGUGCUUGGUAGCAGCUAAGGACACGGUGACUCUACCAAGCUUAGUCAUACUAAAGGGCACUGCAGGAGCUUAGAGGUGAUCAUCCUGGAGGUCUGGUGUAUUGUGGGAGUGACGGUUUUAUGUUAGAAGUAUGGGGGGAGUGUUUAUCAGGGAUUUGCCCUGCUGUUAUUGUAGACUGGAGUUCAUCAGUGCAGUCAGUAAUAAGACUAAGAAGCUUCAGACCGCACGUAAGUGGUGUUUGAACUCUGUUAUUGGGUUGCCAUUCCCCUCUCUGGGGGUUUGGGAACCUGUGUCACAGCACUGACAUGGCCAUUUGCUAUUGAUAAGUCUCUUCCUUGUUGUUACAGCUAAAAUGAAGUCAGUGCGCUUACACCCUGGCAUAUUUCUUCAAUUUAAAAUUUGCUAGAUUCACCUUGCUUUGAGUGUUCUUCACCUAGCUUCAACUUGCUUAGAAAGCAGUGGCAAUGACAGCUAUCUCCUGCCGGUAAGCACAAGUAGAGGGUUCAAGCACAAGUUCUGCAGGGUGCAAACAGGUUGCAAUAAAAGGGGAGGAGGAGGAAGGUUUCCAAUGGGUGAUUUUUUUUGACUCUGAGUAGUUUUUCGGUUUUCAUCAAAGCAAGGUUAAAAAUUCCAGUAGCUAUCAGACUUUGUAGUGCAUUUUGGGUUUUAGAUUUUUCCCCCCAAAAAAGUUUAAAUGCCCUCAGUGAUGUCACGUAUCUGUAGUGCUGGUUAGCUUCUGCAUGAGGAUGCUGCGCUGCCGAAAGGGCCCUUUCCUUGACACUUCGCAGUCGGGUGGAGCAGGGACAAGUGGAGGAGUACCAUACACUCUUGGAGUCUAAUUCCCCGAGUUACCCUGAACUUUGUAUGUUCUUUUAUACUUGUACAAAUUGGGUGCAAAAUGCCACUGACAAGAAAAUUAUAGUUAGUUAUCCACUUGCACAGAUCUCCACUUACUGGAGAUUCUUUGCUGUAGAAGGGCCAGGCUCGUUUUAACUGUUUAAUGUGGUCACUUGAGAAUGAAUUCCACUCAUUACGAAAAUUGUGAUGGAAGGAUUUUUUUAAUAUCAGUCCAUUUUCUUGCACGUAGGAGACACUUUUUUCAUUUAAUGCUCUACAUAGCCUCCGAGGGAAACUUCUUGUUAGUACAUCAUUGAGGUUAAAAGAGGCUGAACUCCCAUUUACAAUGACAGAUCAUGGGAAACUGGAUAGAAUUGAGGUUCCUCAGCUACUCUGGUACUGUCAGUGACCAUAUGCUUACUUUUCAAGUCAACUUAAGACUUAAAAGGUUUCAAAUAGCAGUGUCAACUCCUUGAAUCAAUAAUUCCUUCCCAACGCUGCUGAAAUAAAUACAGGCCAAGCACACAGAGAAAAGACUGUGGUCAACCUGAAAUUGUCUUGUAAGCGUGUAAACCCAGAAUGAUUGGUAACAAGCAGAUAAGACUACAGUGAAUCUUAGUCGAGACAGUAAAUGUUACCUUUUUUUCCUUUUUCUCCCCUCCCUGAAGAGCUCCCUUGGCUGAUAAAGUGCAGUAAAAGAUGCCUCUAUAGGAGUAUUUGACUUUAUGAAGUUGUGUAAGCUGCAGACUCAGAAAGGUAAUCAUAUUGGGAGAUCCUGACCUUUGUAAUGUUCAGUAGCCUAGAUGUUUAGUAACUUUGUCUGAAUGAGCUUCAAGUAAACACCAUUUUGUUUUUCAUAGUUUUUUUCAGUAAUUAAUGAAGGAAAGUGAGUAACCUGUUACUUGGCAGUGCUGCUAGGCACGUGGGAAGAGAGCAAAAUUCUCUCUCUGUAGUGGGGAGGAUGAAAUGAUUCCUUCUUAUUUCUCUCUGCUCUUCCUCUUCAGUCCUUGUAGCUCAAAGCGACUGCAGAUUUCAAAGGUAAGAGUGAAAAAGCAGUGCUGUCAAAGCUGUUCACAGCGGCAUGCUCGAGGCUCGGACGCCUCUUACUCUUCAGAAUUGGGACUCAGUUUCUGUGGGAGGUGUGAGAAAUCACUACCACAGUGGGUAGCAGCAUAGCGGUACCUCAGCAAACCCAGUUUUAAGAGUGCUGCUGGAAGAGAAGAGUCUCCUUCCUGGAAAGAGAAACUCGAGUUAGGGGAUUGGAAUAGUUUUGCUUCAUUGACCUGAUACAAAUAUUAUUCAGGAUAAUGCUUUGUGCUGAUGGAAUUGCUGUGUUACUGCACUUUAGCUCUGCCAGGUGUUGCUGUUUUUCUGCUCUGCUUGCCAUGAAUAGAUUUGCCUUUUCCCUCUUAUUUAGUGAAUUUACCUUCUUUGCGCACACGAGGAAGAAACACAAGGAAAUAAUUCCCCUCCAAAACAGAUCUUGCACAGAGGUUGCAUCCCCGCUAGGCGUUUUGCCAGCUCUCCCAGUGGGAAUGGGGGGACCUGUUAUGUAUUCAUAGGUAAAAAUAUAUUACAUUUUCAUUCCGCUCCGAUGGGGGAGGUGACAGUUCAGGAAAGCCCCGUGGCCCAUCCUGCCUGCUCUGCGCCCCUCAGCCCCGUUGCUGUUGCCCCACUGCCCCAUCGCCGUCACCCCAGGACCCUGUUCCCAUGAGGCGGCAGCCGCCCCUGCCGCAGAGCCGUUUCUGAGCUCGCCGAGAUGCUUCUACCCACUGCGUAAGGUGGACCAGUGAAGGGAACAGCAAAUACGACUGAGCAGACAUAGCUAUAGACAACGAAAAGUAAAUAUUUUCAAAUGCAUGUUUAUGUAUUUUAGAGGGUUACAGCAGUUCAGGUCUGUGCUGUUGUUUUCUCAACUGUCUUGCCACCGUGAAGAUGUUCAGGAAAACUGCAUUUUCCUGUUGAAGGAUUUCUUCAGUUAAGAACCAGUUUUAAUGCUGAACAAUAACUGUAUUACAAGGAAGCCUGAUGUGCCCUCAAUGCCAUUACAAUAUGCUGGAAAAAAGGUAAUUUAAUGGAAACAGCAGAGUGUUUGAAAGUUCACUGCAUGAAAAUUGGAUUUUUGCCUUUUAUUGUUUACAUUGCACCUUAUUCAUAUUUAAGGCCACAGGGAUUAUCAUCCUUCUUAAUGGCCUUAUUUAAUAAAGACUUUGCAUUUCACAGUAUAUGAUCUAGUGUGGGCUUCAGUCUGUUAUCAGGUUUUCAAUUAACUAGCUGUGGCUUCAGUUGCCCUAUAAAUCCUAUAAAUAUAUCUAAAUAAUUAAUUUGCUUUCCGUGGAUGGUAGCAGCUACUUUUAAAUACAGCUGCUAUAUGCUUAGCUGCUAAAUGAUACAACUGUGCUUAUAACUUGCUUUAUUUAUCAUUAUUUUUUAAAUAUAUGAAAUAUGGCUAUUAAUGUGACUGGCUAGACAAGGACCAGUCUCGUGAGGUAUGAGGUCGGUGCUUCAGCUAGGACUGAGGACCAAACCAUUGUGGGGAUGCGAGUGCGCCUUCAAUUCUGGGAGGAAAGGACAGGGGUGAGUGGGUGUCAUGGAUCAACAUAUCCCCUAACUGGACUGGAGGUUUCUGAAUCCUUUGACUGCGGUCAUAUAUAUUGUGAACCAAGGACUGGACAGUUUUUACCUGAGUGGAGGAGUAAGUUAAAAUAUGGGAGACUGAACUGUUUGCUGUUGCUUUUAAAUUUGGGCCUUUCUAGGUACCCUGUAAAAAUGCCUGCACCAAAACGGAAGAAAAAUCGGUGCCCAAGUGCCUCUCCGAAGACUGGUUUCUAACCCAGAUUGCAGAGGCAACUGUGGCACCUCAGUGCUGGGCUGUUGCCUGCCAAAAGCAUCCGUCCGACUUAACGGGGCUGCUACUACACUGAGCUGCAGCCGGCUGUGCAAGCGGGUCUGCCCCCGCACUGUGCAAGUUAAUGUAUUCAGUGAUUCACCUACGAGAAGCGGAACAAAAUAAAACUUGGCAGCUGUGAAAAAGCGCUGUUGAUCAGAGAGUCCCAGUCUUUUCCAAGUUAUUCCUGCUGGCUCGCAUCCCGAGGAGGGAAGAUUUGAGACCUUCAGGGACCCACAGAGAUCAGAACACGAGUCAGUUUUAAAACUGUUGGAAUAUUUAAGGCUUUAAAAAUAUUUUUCACCUAUCAGUGUGUGAUUAACUGAGUGUACAAACUCAAAGAGAAAAAUAAUAUUUAUUAAACAUAGCUCACUUAGUCAUUUUGGCACUUGAUGUGCAAAGAUUAUGCAUUUUUUGCAGGAUUUAUAUUAAUAAUUUCAGCAUGAUAACGUUAAGAAAGGGCUUUUCUUUUUUAGGGAGGUUUAUCUGUGCAUGUGUACAAGUAGCACAUGAAUUAACUUUCUGUCUUCCAUUUUUUGAGAAGUUUAAAAUGUACCUUUUCACCCUUAAGACAAAAAGAGCAGUUGUAUUUAUGGGCCGCAGAGGGUUAAUACAGUGUGAAAAAGAACACAUUCGAGGUUGUCCUCCUGACAGCUCCAUUGUGUCGGCAAAGGACAAAGAUGAAGCACAGCCUCAAUUUACUUUUCUUGCUAAAUAGUACUUUGUUCUAUAUUGUUACGAGAAGGCAUUCCACAUCUGGAGAAGAUGGAAAGCAUGGAAGUCAUGAUACUGCCUCUAUCAACCGUAAUAUAAUGACUACACAUUUUGGUGCUCCUCAAGGAGUUCUGAAUUUUGUUUGUUGCCUUUUGGAAAGCUUCCAUUAGUGGAUGCUCCUCUUUGAUUUUUACCAUUUCUCUUGUCAGCCUCAUGAAAAGGUUGAAAGAGAAAAUACUACGUUUGUCUGCAGAAAGCCUGAGGACUUGAAGUAUGGGCCACCUUUCUGGUGCUUGCUGCAGUAGAUAAAAGAUGUGAGAUUUGUCCUUGUGUUUGUGCAAUGUGGGAAACUGAUGCUCUUAGAUCUGUCUACCCUGGGAAAGUAAGAUGUGUUUAGUAAAUUCACAAAAUAUUAAACAUUUGGUACAUUUCA